GGAACGAAAAGGCCUUUUCUAAUACAGAGGGCUCAUGACGGUACUGUCAGAAUAAGCACCGGCUAACUACGUGCCAGCAGCCGCGGUAAUACGUAGGGUGCAAGCGUUAAUCGGAAUUACUGGGCGUAAAGCGUGCGCAGGCGGUUAUGUAAGACAGGUGUGAAAUCCCCGGGCUUAACCUGGGAACUGCAUUUGUGACUGCAUAGCUAGAGUACGGUAGAGGGGGAUGGAAUUCCGCGUGUAGCAGUGAAAUGCGUAGAUAUGCGGAGGAACACCGAUGGCGAAGGCAAUCCCCUGGACCUGUACUGACGCUCAUGCACGAAAGCGUGGGGAGCAAACAGGAUUAGAUACCCUGGUAGUCC
rnacentral:rRNA from 1 species